AAUAGAUACCCAGGUAGUCCAUGCCGUAAACGUUGGGCACUAGGUGUGGGGGACAUUCCACGUUUUCCGCGCCGUAGCUAACGCAUUAAGUGCCCCGCCUGGGGAGUACGGCCGCAAGGCUAAAACUCAAAGGAAUUGACGGGGGCCCGCACAAGCGGCGGAGCAUGCGGAUUAAUUCGAUGCAACGCGAAGAACCUUACCAAGGCUUGACAUGGACCGGACCGCCGCAGAAAUGUGGUUUCCCCUUUGGGGCCGGUUUACAGGUGGUGCAUGGUUGUCGUCAGCUCGUGUCGUGAGAUGUUGGGUUAAGUCCCGCAACGAGCGCAACCCUCGUUCUAUGUUGCCAGCGGUUCGGCCGGGGACUCAUAGGAGACUGCCGGGGUCAACUCGGAGGAAGGUGGGGACGACGUCAAAUCAUCAUGCCCCUUAUGUCUCGGGCUUCACGCAUGCUACAAUGGCCGGUACAAAGGGUUGCGAUACUGUGAGGUGGAGCUAAUCCCAAAAGCCGGUCUCAGUUCGGAUUGGGGUCUGCAACUCGACCCAUGAAGUCGG
rnacentral:rRNA from 1 species